AUUGAACGCUGGCGGCAGGCCUAACACAUGCAAGUCGAGCGGAUGAAGGGAGCUUGCUCCUGGAUUCAGCGGCGGACGGGUGAGUAAUGCCUAGGAAUCUGCCUGGUAGUGGGGAUAACGUCCGGAAACGGGCGCUAAUACCGCAUACGUCCUGAGGGAGAAAGUGGGGGAUCUUCGGACCUCACGCUAUCAGAUGAGCCUAGGUCGGAUUAGCUAGUUGGUGGGGUAAAGGCCUACCAAGGCGACGAUCCGUAACUGGUCUGAGAGGAUGAUCAGUCACACUGGGAACGGAACACGGGCCCAGCUCCUGCGGGGGGGCGCAGGGGGGAAUUUUUGAACAAGGGGGAAAGGCUUGUCCCACCCAUCCGGGGGGGUGAAGAAGGUUCUUGGAAUUUAAAACACUUUUAGGUGGGGGGGAAGGGUAUUAAUUUAUUACCUUGUUUUUUGAACUUUACCAAAAAAAUAACCCCCGGCAAACUUCGUC
rnacentral:rRNA from 1 species